rnacentral:lncRNA from 1 species
AAAGUGGAUAUAGGAGGAAAUAUCAUUACAACAUAAUUAAAAACUCUUUAGUACAAAUAAAAUAGCUCAUUCAAGAUGAGAGAGGCAUAUAAGUGGAGCCCUCGUCACCUUUUGUCUUAUUCUUAUACUAUUCAGGAUAUAAUAUACUCAUGCUAUAAUGAGUAGUUUCCAGUGCCAGGUUCUGUGACUUCUUCAAAACUUGAUACUGCAAGUGUAACCAAAAAAUGAAUCAUGAGAUAAUGAAUCUCAAAUAAAAGAUACCUAACUUUGUAAAACAUUAUUGUAGUUUGCAUAGUGAGCUGAGGUAAUUACCCAUGUUAGUGAUGAGAUUGAAAUUCAUGAAAACAUUAAAAAAAAAUUGAAUAAAAACUUCUUUUUAUGGAUAAUUAUAUAAUCAUAACAAUUUUCUCAUUCAUUUCAUUUACAUAUAUUAUAUUUUCAUAUCACAUAUUUCUCAUUCCAUUUUUUGAGUCAUCAUCAUGUAAGAUAAAAAUAGUUCAAGCUGACUCUUUUGUCACUUCCAAUAAUCAUUUAUCUUUAUAUUACGAGUUUUAUGCAAUAAUAUUUUAAAAAUACUUUUACUAAAAAAUCAAACUUAAAACUAAUUUUUUUUUCUUUUUAUCCGUUUCAUUCUUUCUUUGAUAGAUGUUAUCUUAUUUAUUUGAGAUCAACAUACUUUUAUCUAUCAACUAGCUUUUUCACAAUAAGAUGAUUUUUCUUUAGUUUAUAUAUGGUUGAACGAACUAUAGAAGUUUAUGUUUGAAAAAACAUAAUGAUAUACUUUUACAUUUAUUUACAUAGAAUAUAAACAUAAAAUAAUUAUAAAUGUAUAAAGUUUUGUAUUUUUUUAGAAUAAAAGAGUUUAAAAAGUAAGAAAUAAUAAUAUCAAAUGUAUAUGUAUGAAAGAAUAAUUAAAAAAAAAAAGUCUUUUUAACAAUUUUUUUUUACAAUUUUUUUGAUAACGUGACAGUUUGUGAUUGGUCUAUUUCAAAUAUUUUUUAGAAUAAAUUAAAACAGACCAAUAGAAUUGUGACACGUGUUCUGUUAUAAAAAAAGGUGUUAAAAAAGAAUUGUUAAAAUAUUAUUUUCUUAAAAAAAUAGUAAAAGAAUUUAAAAAGACGCAUAUUGACUUAUUUAUAGACUAAUUUUAAUUAUAAAAUAUAAGUUUGGAAAACUACAAAAAAGAAUUUGAACAAUGGAUUUUUUUUGUCUUACCUAGCGCAGUUGGUGGAGGUGCUGAUCUUGUAGGGGAUGCUGACGCCACACUUGCCCGGGAGUAUGGCUGCGUUGUUAGCAUUGAAUCCACCGAUCCUGCCGGCCUCGCUUUUGAGGCAAUUGCACACGGCCUGGCGGUCUGGGGUGGUCUUUGCGGCGGCGUUGAGGGACUUCACUCCGGCGCAGCAUGACGGCGGCACGAUCCCACCCUUGGUGAUGAAUGGGAUGCAUGAAGUGAGGGAACUUGCGACCUGGCCGCAGGUGAUGGCAUGUGCCGUGGGUGCGGUGGCAACCACCAAGCACAGGAGGGCAACGACGCACGCACACUUGAUGCUGGCCAUGGAAACUAACAAUGAAGGAGUAGCGAAUUGAAGAAAUGGGAUUUGGUUUAGGGUUUG